rnacentral:rRNA from 1 species
UACGUAGGUGGCAAGCGUUGUCCGGAAUUACUGGGCGUAAAGGGCGCGUAGGCGGCCUGCUAAGUCGAACGUGAAAUCCCUGGGCUCAACCCAGGAACUGCGUCCGAUACUGGUUGGCUUGAAUCCGGGAGAGGGAUGUGGAAUUCCAGGUGUAGCGGUGAAAUGCGUAGAUAUCUGGAGGAACACCGGUGGCGAAGGCGACAUCCUGGACCGGUAUUGACGCUGAGGCGCGAAAGCCAGGGGAGCAAACGGG